rnacentral:rRNA from 1 species
UACGUAGGUGGCGAGCGUUGUCCGGAUUUACUGGGCGUAAAGAGCGCGCAGGCGGUCGUGCAAGUCGCGUGUGAAAGCCCCCGGCUCAACUGGGGAGGGUCACGCGAUACUGCUCGACUCGAAGGCAGGAGAGGGAAGUGGAAUUCCCCGGUGUAGUGGUGAAAUGCGUAGAUAUCGGGAGGAACACCAGUGGCGAAGGCGACUUCCUGGCCUGUUCUUGACGCUGAGGUGCGAAAGCUAGGGUAGCAAACGGG